CCCGACUCCGUGAAGCUGGAUUCGCUAGUAAUCGCGCAUCAGCCAUGGCGCGGUGAAUACGUUCCCGGGCCUUGUACACACCGCCCGUCAAGCCAUGGAAGCCGGGGGCGCUUGAAGUGCGUUGCCGCAAGGCGCGCCCUAGAGCGAAACCGGUGGCUGGGGCUAAGUCGUAACAAGGUACC
rnacentral:rRNA from 1 species